rnacentral:rRNA from 1 species
CCCUUAGAUGUUCUGGGCUGCACGCGCGCUACACUGAAGCGUUCAACGAGUAUUUCACCUUGCCCGGGAGGGUUGGGUAAUCUUUUUAAAACGCUUCGUGAUGGGGAUAGAUUAUUGCAAUUAUUAAUCUUCAACGAGGAAUUCCUAGUAAGCGCGAGUCAUCAGCUCGUGCUGAUUACGUCCCUGCCCUUUGUACACACCGCCCGUCGCUCCUACCGAUUGAGUGGUCCGGUGAAUAAUUCGGACUGCAGCAGUGCUUGGUCCUCCGGGCUUUGCAGCGGAAAGUUUAGUGAACCUUAUCACUUAGAGGAAGGAGAAGUCGUAACA